UAAUGCAUGUGGAUGCAAUUGUAUGUAUUACUAGUUCUGGAAGUGGACAAUCGCUUUAUAAGAAUAUUUUAACUUUCUGAGAGGAAGCUAUUAUUUUUCACCACUGAUAGUAAAAUAACAGACAUGGAAAUGGGUUUUUUAAAAUUCAGCUGAACAUGAAAUAUUUUAGGAACCUAUAACUUCUUCCAGUCAUGCCUUUCCUCGCAGUGUGCACCCAGCUUCUCUGAUCACCAUGAGCUGCUUCUUUGAUGCAUGGGACUGAUGUGAUUGCUUCUGAAACGUGUUUUCAGUGGCUACAUUAUCCGAGGAAGCUGCAGCCAGAAGUUCAUCAGUAUGUUAAGAACUGAAUUCCAAAUGUGACAUCAAAUAUGAGGUGUGAUAAAAAAUAUAUGGUGAACGCCGCUGCAUGCCAGGUGCCAUCCGACAGAAAGGCAGGGACUUCACUAUGAGAAGUGGAUCAGAUUUUAGUAACAGCAAAUGACAAGUUUCCAGUCACUCAAUGCAACGAUAUGACUUUUUGUUGCAAACUGCAAAAAAGUGCUACAGAAACAUAGCAUGUUAAAAAUUGUAGUAGGUGCUGCAGUGAACAUGGACACAGUUUAUAAGUGGUUAGAGUGAUUUUCUAAUAGUUGUGAAUUGGUUGAAGAUGAGCAAUCAAGAUGUCCUUAAACACCAAAAACCCAAGACAAUGUUGAAAAUCCCAGGUUGGUCUCGAACUCGCAACUAUCCUCCUGAGUGCUGGUACUGUAGGUGUGCACCACCAAUUGACUAUUAAGAGGAUUUCCGAGGAUCUGAGCAUUUCUUGUGGUUUCGUUCAAAGCAGUUUAACAACAGAUUUGAACACAGCUCGUCUCCAAAGUCAAAGUGACUAUGAUAGGCGGACAUUUUGAGUUGACUCAGGACAUUGAGGCAGCCAUGACGGCGCAACUACAGAUGUGAAAG